rnacentral:rRNA from 1 species
CUGAGGGGGGGGGGGUGGAUCCCUUAAUUAAUAAUUAUUCCUAGAUGCCGGGCGGCUACGCCGCCCUGGCCUCAGGAAAAGACCAGUUCGUGAUGUCCGUGACGGGAUUGGACCUUACCUUUAAUGGUGUUUGGUGGAAAGCUUUUGCGGUUCAGGAUGGGCCCGCGGCCUAUCAGCUUGUUGGUGGGGUAAUGGCCUACCAAGGCGACGACGGGUAGCCGACCUGAGAGGGUGAUCGGCCACACUGGGACUGAGACACGGCCCAGACUCCUACGGGAGGCAGCAGUGGGGAAUAUUGCACAAUGGGCGCAAGCCUGAUGCAGCGACGCCGCGUGAGGGAUGACGGCCUUCGGGUUGUAAACCUCUUUCACCAGGGACGAAGCGCAAGUGACGGUACCUGGAGAAGAAGCACCGGCCAACUACGUGCCAGCAGCCGCGGUAAUACGUAGGGUGCGAGCGUUGUCCGGAAUUACUGGGCGUAAAGAGCUCGUAGGCGGUUUGUCGCGUCGUCUGUGAAAUUCUGCAACUCAAUUGUAGGCGUGCAGGCGAUACGGGCAGACUUGAGUACUACAGGGGAGACUGGAAUUCCUGGUGUAGCGGUGAAAUGCGCAGAUAUCAGGAGGAACACCGGUGGCGAAGGCGGGUCUCUGGGUAGUAACUGACGCUGAGGAGCGAAAGCGUGGGUAGCGAACAGGAUUAGAUACCCUGGUAGUCCACGCCGUAAACGGUGGGUACUAGGUGUGGGGCUCAUUUCACGAGUUCCGUGCCGUAGCUAACGCAUUAAGUACCCCGCCUGGGGAGUACGGCCGCAAGGUUAAAACUCAAAGGAAUUGACGGGGGCCCGCACAGCGCGAGCAUGUGAUUAUUCGAUGCAACGCGAAAACCUUACUGGUUUGACAUACACCAGAAGCUGUAGAGAUAUAGCUCUCCUUGUGUGUGUACAGUGAUGCAUGCUGUCGUCAGCUCGGUCGGAAUGUGUUAGUCCCGCACGAGCGCACUCUUGUUCUUGAUUGCAGGGUUAUGCGGAACUGCAAGGAACUGCGGUUAAAU